UACAGAGGUGGCAAGCGUUGUUCGGAAUUACUGGGCGUAAAGCGCACGUAGGCGGUCAGGCAAGUCGGGUGUGAAAGCCCUGGGCUCAACCUGGGAAUUGCAUUCGAAACUAUCUGACUCGAGUAUGGGAGAGGGAAGCGGAAUUUCCGGUGUAGCGGUGAAAUGCGUAGAUAUCGGAAGGAACACCAGUGGCGAAGGCGGCUUCCUGGACUAAUACUGACGCUGAGGUGCGAAAGCGUGGGGAGCAAACAGG
rnacentral:rRNA from 1 species